rnacentral:RNase_P_RNA from 1 species
UAAGCGGGUGGGGCUGUCGCGUGCCAUGUUGCCGAAAGGUAUUGGUAUGAGGAAAGUCCGGGCAUCGCAGGGCAGGAUAACGGAUAACGUCCGCCGGAGGAAACUCCCGGGAAAGUGCAACAGAAAUAACCUACCUAAGCGACGAUUCUUCGGAAUCUCGACGGUACAGAUGGAAAGGCGAGGUAAAAGCUCACCGGCACGGCAGGCAACUGCGUGCAAAUGUAAACCCUAUCCGAUGCAACACCGUAUGUGCGGCGGGAUCUCCCGGUGUCUGCCCGACAUUUCCGCACGGGUGGCUUUAAGGUGUAUGGCAACAUACAUCACAGAUAGAUGACAGCUGCAUGGAGCGUCCUUCGGGAUUCUCCGUGUACAGAACCCGGCUUACAAGCCCGCUUUUGUU